rnacentral:rRNA from 1 species
GGGGGGUGCGAGCGUUGUCCGGAAUCACUGGGCGUAAAGGGCGCGUAGGUGGUCUGAUAAGGGUGUGGUGAAAGCCCGGGGCUCAACCCCGGGUCGGCCGUGCCGACUGUUAGACUAGAGUGCUGUAGGGGCAGGCGGAAUUCCGGGUGUAGCGGUGGAAUGCGUAGAGAUCCGGAGGAAGACCGGUGGCGAAGGCGGCCUGCUGGGCAGUUACUGACACUGAGGCGCGACAGCGUGGGGAGCAAACAGGAUUAGAUACCCUGGUAGUCCACGCCGUAAACGAUGGGUACUAGGUGCCUGGGGGAGCGACCCCUUGGGUGCCGGCGCUAACGCAGGAAGUACCCCGCCUGGGGAGUACGACCGCRAGGUUG